rnacentral:rRNA from 1 species
AUUGAACGCUGGCGGCAGGCCUAACACAUGCAAGUCGAACGAGUGGCGGACGGGUGAGUAAUGUCUGGGAAACUGCCCGAUGGAGGGGGAUAACUACUGGAAACGGUAGCUAAUACCGCAUACCAUCGGAUGUGCCCAGGUGGGAUUAGCUAGUUGGUGGGGUAAAGGCUCACCAAGGCGACGAUCCCUAGCUGGUCUGAGAGGAUGACCAGCCACACUGGGACUGAGACACGGCCCAGACUCCUACGGGAGGCAGCAGUGGGGAAUAUUGCGCAAUGGGGGCAAGCCUGAUGCAGCCAUGCCGCGUGUAUGAAGAAGGCCUUCGGGUUGUAAAGUACUUUCAGCGGGGAGGCGUUACCCGCAGAAGAAGCACCGACUAACUCCGUGCCAGCAGCCGCGGUAAUAC